CCUUUCUCUUUAAACGCCCCUUUCUUUUUCUUUCUCCUUCCUCCUCGAGGUCUGUGGUCUAUUGAAGCGACCUACGAGUUCUUCAUUGAAGUGCGUACUGAACUUUCUCUCUUCCAUUAAAUCAGUUUAUAACGUGAGGUAAUUUUUGUAAAAAAUUAUUGAGUAUCACUUUCACAAUCUGGAUUUAUUAGUAAGCUUCCUGUCUAUGUUUUUGUUUCAUCAAUUUGAAUAGCGAAAAAAAAUUGAAAUGCAUGCAUCUGAAUCAAUUGAUAGAUUAUGCUGAAUCAAUGCAUGUAUCUCUAAAUUGGCGUUUAAUUAUGCUGAUAAUCGCACUUUAAAUUUCAUAUUUUCUGCUUUCAUUCUUCACUAUUUCUCUCCUUUGGUUAGAUUGAAUAAUCGAUUGAUAGAAUUUCACAACCCUUAUUUAGUCUAUCAAUUGAAUUGAGACGAAUUGAUUAUAGUAUAUAUUUUGGGGUUGUUUGGCAAUCGGCGGUUGGUUGUUGGUUGUUGGCUUGGCUUGUUUGACUAGCUGGAAGUAUUAGCCGUAUGGGUUGGCCUUUUAAGUUAUUGUGUUAAGCUGACUGUUUUCAAAAGUGUUUGGUAAAAUUAUUAAUGAUUGUUAGCUGUUUAUUAGUGAUAAAGUAGACCAACAAGCCAAAAGCCAAUAAAAAAAGCUACUCUUAUUAGCUUUUGGCGGAAAAGCUAGCUUAAAAGCCAAUAAAAAAGCCAACAACCAAACAUAUUUUUUGGCUGUUUGACCAAACUUAAAAGCCAAAAGCUAGGCAAAAAGCCAAUUGCCAAACACCCCUUGAUCUUGCGCGUUUUUUUUUUCCAGCUAAGCAGGCUUCUCCCCCGGUGGUGUUAUGGGUAUGCAAGUGGAAUUUGGGCUAUCAUCAUAGACUAAAGCCCGUUCUUUUGCUGAAGAAAUAUAUUCUCGUGCUCUUCAUAAGAAAACUUGGUUAAUGUCAAACCUCCGUGGAACCUUGGUCCUUCUUCGAUAUAUUGGCAGAGUUGCGGAUAAACUGACUCUAUAUGCAAAAGAUUUAUAUUAAACUGGAAAGUUUUUUUUCCCUAUAUUCUCUAUACAAUUUGGUCUUAACAGCUCAGAUGUUUUAACCUAAACUGUGGUUCUGAUGCUGUAUGCUUUUCUGUACAGAUUGAUCUAUUAUUGGAGUAUCUACCUAAUCUUGAGAAGGAUGGAUCUUAGUUUGAAGUAGGUUGCAGCUAUCUGGAUGCCUACUUAUCGACUAAUACCAUAUUGGUUGGCCAUGAUGUGUCGAUUGCUGACACAUUUUUGUGGGCUGCCCUUGCUGGUAAUGAGUCUUUAAUCUCACCUUCUAGACCAAAUAUGGGCUGAAGGAGUAUAAGAGUCAUAGUAUGAGGAAGAAUAAAAAUCAAUAUUUGUUGGCUCUGGGUAACAAGUGGGAAGUUAUAUUAUCUAUGCCUAGAGUUCAUUUGCUGCUAAAGUUUCUUAUAGGUUGAUAGUUCAAGUGAAUAUAUAUGCUAGAAAAAUCCAAUUGACCUGAUCAGAACUAAAGUAACCCCUGCUUCUUUAAGCCUUUUUAUUGCACGACAAUGUAAAUUAUAGUGUUUACCUCUUAGAUUUGUUUUCUUGGCAAUCAUGACAUUUCCAUAAACCAAUUUAAUAAAUACAAUGUUGAAUUUACAAUAACUCUAGGUUUUUACAAGAUAUUAAGUUUGUUAUUUAUUCCUCUGCUUUCAAGGUGUGAAAAUAUACAUUGAAAAUGAUUAUUGUUUGGUUUAGGGAUAUGGUAGUUGGCAAUAUACAUGAAAUCCAACUCGAUCUUUUAAGAGCAGCUGAAUUUUAAUUUUUUUUAGAAUAAGAAAUGUAGAAGUCAUAGAUCUAAACUUUGUAAGAGAACUAUAUAUCUUAAUGGAGCUUUGAUAGAAUGCAUGUGACUAAUUUCAGAAA